rnacentral:rRNA from 1 species
UACGGGGGGGGGUUAGCGUUGUUCGGAAUGACUGGGCGUAAAGCGCGCGUAGGCGGAUCGGAAAGUUGGGGGUGAAAUCCCGGGGCUCAACCCCGGAAUGGCCUUCAAAACUCCCGGUCUUGAGUUCGAGAGAGGUGAGUGGAAUUCCGAGUGUAGAGGUGAAAUGCGUAGAGAUGUGGAGGAAUACCGAUGGCGAAGGCAGACCUCC